rnacentral:rRNA from 1 species
GACGAACGCUGGCGGCGUGCCUAACACAUGCAAGUCGAACGCAUCCCGUUGAAUUGAAGUGCUUGCACUGAUUUUUAACAUCGGAUGAGUGGCGAACUGGUGAGUAACACGUGGGUAACCUGCCCAGAAGCGGGGGAUAACACUUGGAAACAGGUGCUAAUACCGCGUAACAACAGAAACCGCAUGGUUUCUGUUUGAAAGAUGGUUUCGGCUAUCACUUCUGGAUGGACCCGCGGCGUAUCAGCUAGUUGGUGGAGUAAUGGUUCACCAAGGCAAUGAUACGUAGCCGACCUGAGAGGGUAAUCGGCCACAUUGGGACUGAGACACGGCCCAAACUCCUACGGGAGGCAGCAGUAGGGAAUCUUCCACAAUGGACGAAAGUCUGAUGGAGCAACGCCGCGUGAGUGAAGAAGGGUUUCGGCUCGUAAAACUCUGUUGUUGAAGAAGAACACAUCUGAGAGUAACUGUUCAGGUGUUGACGGUAUUUAACCAGAAAGCCACGGCUAACUACGUGCCAGCAGCCGCGGUAAGAC